CCGCGGUAAUACGAAGGGUGCAAGCGUUACUCGGAAUUACUGGGCGUAAAGCGUACGCAGGCGGCGCGUUAAGUCGGGUGUGAAAGCCCGGGGCUCAACCCCGGAACGGCAUUCGAUACUGGCGCGCUUGAGUACGGGAGAGGGGAGCGGAAUUCCUGGUGUAGAGGUGAAAUUCGUAGAUAUCAGGAGGAACAUCAGUGGCGAAAGCGGCUCCCUGGUCCGAUACUGACGCUCAUGUACGAAAGCGUGGGGAGCAAACAGG
rnacentral:rRNA from 1 species